AAGGAUCAUUAUCGAGUUUUGAACGGGUUGUCUGCUGGCUCGCGAGAGCAUGUGCACGCCUGUCUCAUCCACUCUCAACUUCUGUGCACUUUUCAUAGGCCGGCUUGUGGGUGCGUUCGCGCACUUGUAGGUGUCGGGCUUAUGCUUUAUUACAAACGAUUCAGUUUUAGAAUGUCAUACUUUGCUAUAACGCAAUUUAUAUACAACUUUCAGCAACGGAUCUCUUGGCUCUCGCAUCGAUGAAGAACGCAGCGAAAUGCGAUAAGUAAUGUGAAUUGCAGAAUUCAGUGAAUCAUCGAAUCUUUGAACGCACCUUGCGCUCCUUGGUAUUCCGAGGAGCAUGCCUGUUUGAGUCUCAUGGAAUUCUCAACCUUCGGCUUCAUUGACGAAGGCUUGGACUUGGAGGUCGUGCCGGCUCUCGUAGUCGGCUCCUCUGAAAUGCAUUAGUGCGAACGUUACCAGCCGCUUCAGCGUGAUAAUUAUCUGCGUUGCUGUGGAGGGUAUCCUAGUGUCCGCGCUUCUAACCGUCUUCGGACAAAUUUCUGAACUCUGAGCUCAAAUCAGGUAGGACUACCCGCUGAACUUAAG
rnacentral:rRNA from 1 species